UCCUACGGGAGGCAGCAGUGGGGAAUUUUGGACAAUGGGGGCAACCCUGAUCCAGCCAUGCCGCGUGAGUGAAGAAGGCCUUCGGGUUGUAAAGCUCUUUCAGUCGAGAAGAAAAGGUUACGGUUAAUACUCCGUGACUCAUGACGGUAUCGGAAGAAGAAG
rnacentral:rRNA from 1 species